ensembl:rRNA 5S_rRNA 5S ribosomal RNA
GCCUACGGCCAUACCACCCUGAAAGCGCCUGAUCUCGGAAGCUAAGCAGGGACGGGCUUGGUUAGUACCUGGAUGGGAGACCGCCUGGGAAUACCAGGUGUUGUAGGCU